AUCAAGAAUCACUUUCCUCCCAAUAUUUACUCCAUCAAUACUUACAUACAGACACAAAAAACAUCAAAAACAAUGGAGGACAAUAAUCCACCAACCCCCACAAAACCAAGAGUGGUGAUUUGUGUAGGUGACAUCCAUGGCUACAUAGAAAAGCUUCAAAAUUUAUGGUCAAAUCUUCAAUCUUGUAUUGAACCAUCUGAUUUUGAGACUGCCCUUAACAUUUUCUUGGGUGAUUAUUGUGAUAGAGGUCCAAAUACUAGUAAAGUUGCCCUUAUCAUUUUCUUGGGUGAUUAUUGUGAUAGAGGUCCAAAUACUAGUAAAGUUCUUGACUUUUUCAUUGAUUUACCUUCAAAGUAUCCUAAACAAUCCCAUGUUUUUCUGUGUGGGAAUCAUGAUUUUGCAUUUGCGGCAUUCUUGGGUGUACUUCCCAGUCUACCUGAUGGGACUGAGUUUUGUGGAACAUGGAAAGAGUAUGAAAUGAAUGAGGAAAGAGAAGGGUGGUAUAAAGGUAAAGGCUUUGAGAAUAUGCAUUUGCAAGGGAGGAGAUGGGCUGGGAAUCAUAGUGUUAAGUUUAAUGCUGUAAAGGGUAUUGAUUAUAAAGGGUCUAUUUAUGAUGAUGCUCCUACUUUUGAGUCUUAUGGUGUUCCUCAUGGUUCUGCUGUUGAUUGUGUGUUUGAAUGAGAGCCUUGGAUUAACUGGACAAGUUGUUUCCAUGUGACCAGCCUCUUGCAGAGGGAAGGCUAAGUACAAUACACCUUUGUGGCGGGACCCUUCUCCGUACCCUGCACAUAGCAGGAGCUUAGUGGACCGGGUUGCCCCUUUUUAGUUGAUUGACGAUGUUCCUAUAAAAACUGAGGAAGGAAUCAAAACGUGCAAACUAAUCGCUGCUGGAGAAAGACAAAGCUGUUGAAGAGCAGAUUAAAACCCUGAAAGCGAAGGACACAAGGAUACCUAAGGUUACCGCCCUUAGUGGAAGGAAGGACGUAUGGGAAAUUCCUCAGGUCACUUCUCUUUAGCACUUUAUCUACAAAAUUUUCAAUGUGACCGCUAGUCUAUGCUGCUUGAACUCUUCAAAAGUGCCACUUGGUGCUUGUCGGAU